AGUGAACGCUGGCGGUAGGCCUAACACAUGCAAGUCGAACGGCAGCACAGUAAGAGCUUGCUCUUACGGGUGGCGAGUGGCGGACGGGUGAGGAAUACAUCGGAAUCUACUUUUUCGUGGGGGAUAACGUAGGGAAACUUACGCUAAUACCGCAUACGACCUACGGGUGAAAGCAGGGGAUCUUCGGACCUUGCGCGAUUGAAUGAGCCGAUGUCGGAUUAGCUAGUUGGCGGGGUAAAGGCCCACCAAGGCGACGAUCCGUAGCUGGUCUGAGAGGAUGAUCAGCCACACUGGAACUGAGACACGGUCCAGACUCCUACGGGAGGCAGCAGUGGGGAAUAUUGGACGAUGGGCGCAAGCCUGAUCCAGCCAUACCGCGUGGGUGAAGAAGGCCUUCGGGUUGUAAAGCCCUUUUGUUGGGAAAGAAAAGCAGCAGGUUGAUACCCCGCUGUUCUGACGGUACCCAAAGAAUAAGCACCGGCUAACUUCGUG
rnacentral:rRNA from 1 species